rnacentral:rRNA from 1 species
UACGUAGGGUGCAAGCGUUAAUCGGAAUUACUGGGCGUAAAGCGUGCGCAGGCGGUUUUGUAAGUCUGUCGUGAAAUCCCCGGGCUUAACCUGGGAACUGCACUUGUGACUGGCGGGCUAGAGUAUGGCAGAGGGGGGUAGAAUUCCACGUGUAGCAGUGAAAUGCGUAGAGAUGUGGAGGAAUACCGAUGGCGAAGGCAGCCCCCUGGGCCAAUACUGACGCUCAUGCACGAAAGCGUGGGGAGCAAACAGG